AGGGCCCUCAACUCAAAGAGAGACUGAGCAGGGACCCACUACUACAUGUUGUUUAAAAUUGAGUUGCAUAUUAACCUGGGCCUACAUUAACGAGUUGG